rnacentral:rRNA from 1 species
CUACCCUUGACAUGUGCGGAAUCCUGCAGAGAUGCAGGAGUGCCCGAAAGGGAACCGCAACACAGGUGCUGCAUGGCUGUCGUCAGCUCGCGUCGUGAGAUGUUGGGUUAAGUCCCGCAACGAGCGCAACCCUUGUCAUUAGUUGCUACAUUCAGUUGAGCACUCUAAUGAGACUGCCGGUGACAAACCGGAGGAAGGUGGGGAUGACGUCAAGUCCUCAUGGCCCUUAUGGGUAGGGCUACACACGUCAUACAAUGGCGGAUACAGAGGGUUGCCAACUCGCGAGAGGGAGCCAAUCCCAGAAAGUCCGUCGUAGUCCGGAUUAAGUCUGCAACUCGACUUAUGAAGUCGGAAUCGCUAGUAUCGCGGAUCAGCAUGUCGCGGUGAAUACGUUCC